rnacentral:rRNA from 1 species
UCCUACGGGAGGCAGCAGUGGGGAAUAUUGGACAAUGGGGGCAACCCUGAUCCAGCCAUGCCGCGUGUGUGAAGAAGGCCCUCGGGUUGUAAAGCACUUUCAGCGAGGAAGAACGCCUAGCGGUUAAUACCCGCUAGGAAAGACAUCACUCGCAGAAGAAGCACCGGCUAACUCCGUGCCAGCAGCCGCGGUAAUAUGGAGGGUGCAAGCGUUAAUCGGAAUUACUGGGCGUAAAGCGCGCGUAGGUGGCUUGAUAAGCCGGUUGUGAAAGCCCCGGGCUCAACCUGGGAACGGCAUCCGGAACUGUCAAGCUAGAGUGCAGGAGAGGAAGGUAGAAUUCCCGGUGUAGCGGUGAAAUGCGUAGAGAUCGGGAGGAAUACCAGUGGCGAAGGCGGCCUUCUGGACUGACACUGACACUGAGGUGCGAAAGCGUGGGUAGCAAACAGGGUUAGAUACCCUGGUAGUCCACGCCGUAAACGAUGUCGACCAGCCGUUGGGUGCCUAGCGCACUUUGUGGCGAAGUUAACGCGAUAAGUCGACCGCCUGGGGAGUACGGCCGCAAGGUUAAAACUCAAAUGAAUUGACGG